rfam:Orgyia leucostigma NPV isolate CFS-77, complete genome.
CACUUUACCGUCAAUAUAUUGACCAAUAUACUACGAUACGACGCUUGCGGGACAAUAUUGAACGAUUUACACGUUCAAUAUACUACGAAAGUACAUAAAUAUACUACACCGCGUCGUAAAUAUACGUACGAAAAUGUAAAAAGCGAAUUGUAUAUGGGUACGCCGACCGCAAAUAUACCCGUAAAUGACAUUACGAUCGA